GUUCUAGAAAAAUUUGCUGCACAUAUAUUAAAAUUGAAAUGAUACAGAGAGGAUUUGGUAUGGACCCUGUGCAAGGAUGCUAUGUAAAUUCGUGAAGUAUUCCAUAUGUUU
rnacentral:snRNA from 1 species